ensembl:snoRNA
CAGACCCUGAAUCAAGGCCAGCAGCUUACUGACACUGUUGGUUCAAACAGGAGCCUACACAGAUGUCUUUCUAUGGUCUGUUGGCCAUGUCAGAACUUGGGCAGUGAAAUGGUCAAUUCAUUAAAAGAAACAGUU